rnacentral:rRNA from 1 species
AGGGUUUGAUCAUGGCUCAGAACGAACGCUGGCGGCAGGCCUAACACAUGCAAGUCGAACGAGAAGCCAGGCUUCGGCCUGGUGGAAAGUGGCAGACGGGUGAGGAACACGUGGGAAUCUGCCCAGUGGUACGGAAUAACUUCGGGAAACCGGAGCUAAUGCCGUAUACGCCCUUCGGGGGAAAGAUUUAUCGCCAUUGGAUGAGCCCGCGUCGGAUUAGCUUGUUGGUAGGGUAACGGCCUACCAAGGCGACGAUCCGUAGCUGGUCUGAGAGGAUGAUCAGCCACACUGGGACUGAGACACGGCCCAGACUCCUACGGGAGGCAGCAGUGGGGAAUAUUGCACAAUGGGCGCAAGCCUGAUGCAGCCAUGCCGCGUGAGUGAAGAAGGCCUUAGGGUUGUAAAACUCUUUCACCGGUGAAGAUAAUGACGGUAGCCGGAGAAGAAGCCCCGGCUAACUCCGUGCCAGCAGCCGCGGUAAUACGGAGGGGGCUAGCGUUGUUCGGAAUUACUGGGCGUAAAGCGCACGUAGGCGGAUUGGUAAGUUGGGGGUGAAAUCCCAAGGCUCAACCUUGGAACUGCCCUCGAAACUGCCAGUCUUGAGUCCGGAAGAGGUGAGUGGAAUUCCUAGUGUAGAGGUGAAAUUCGUAGAUAUUAGGAAGAACACCAGUGGCGAACGGGGCUCACUGGUCCGGUACUGACGCUGAGGUGCGAAAGCGUGGGGGAGCAAACAGGAUUAGAUACCCUGGUAGUCCACGCCGUAAACGAUGGGUGCUAGCCGUCGGGCGGCAUGCCGUUCGGUGGUGCAGCUAACGCAUUAAGCACCCCGCCUGGGGGAUACGGCGCAGGUAAACUCAAGGAUGACGGGGCCGCACAAGCGGUGGGAGCAUGUGGUUUAUCGAGGCACGCGAAGAACUA